CCUACGGGUGGCAGCAGUGGGGAAUAUUGCGCAAUGGGCGAAAGCCUGACGCAGCGACGCCGCGUGAGGGAUGAAGGUCUUCGGAUCGUAAACCUCUGUCAGCAGGGAAGAACGGUCACUGUGCUAAUCAGCAGUGAAUUGACGGUACCUGCAAAGGAAACACCGGCUAACUCCGUGCAAGCAGCCGCGGUAAUACGGAGGGUGAGAGCGUUAAUCGGAAUUAUUUGACAUAAAGCGCUCGUAGGCGGUAUGUCAAGUCAAGGGUUAAAUCCCCGCGCUCAACGUGGGAACUGCCUUUGAAACUGGCUAACUGUAGUGUGUGAGAGGAUAGUGGAAUUCCAGGUGUAGGAGUG
rnacentral:rRNA from 1 species